GUCGCGGUGGAGAACCCCGCAGUUGUGGCAAUGCCGCACGGCCUCCAGCACCUGCCAGAAGAAUCCUCGGGCCAGGUCCUCCUGUAGGGCUCCUCGUUCGGUGAUAAAGUCGAAGAGGUCUUGCACCGGUUCGGGCCUCUCCAGGAUCAGCACGAAACUAUCGGGCCUCUCGAACCAGUCCAGAAGUCUAAUGACGCCCGAGAAGUCCGAGCUCACCUUCUUCAACAGGACCACUUCCAUGGGCACUCGGGUGCCAUUGGGCUGCAGAGUGAGGGCGAGGGUUAGCGCGCCGGUUCCGGCACGCCCGUCGCCACCCACCCACCCAUGAGAGGGUCUCUGGCUCCGGCUCACUCACCAGUUCUCCCCAAUCGGAAAUCCGGUCCUUCUCCACGUGCUUAAUGGCCACCUGGAAGAAGACCCCCGAGUCUCCAUCAGACCCUCCUGCUCAAAGCAUCCCUCCGCGCGCCCUCCCCGAGGCGGCGUUGCCCACUCACCGGCAAGUUGUCGGCGACGCGGAUGCCAGAGUAGACCGAGCCGAAGCCACCGCUGCCCAACAGCGGGCCCACCUGGUACUGCGACUCCAGGGGCUCCUUCUCUUUGCCUAGGAAAGAGGCACGGGACACUCAGCGCGCUCGACCCACGCGGGGGUCUCCCGGCGUCCCAACGACCCGCGCGCCCAGGGUGGGGUGGGGACACUCACCCGGCGCCAGCUUGGUGGCGUGCAGGUCGUUGCAGGGCGCGGCGCGCAGAUCCAAAGAAGCGUCUUUCUCUGAUUCCUUUUAUCUGGAAGAACUGAGAGGAGACGGGCGAACGGUUGUGAGAAUCUCUUUAAGGGGCAGUCCUGGAAUGAGUGAAGUGCACCGCUGACUCCUGGCCGCCUGUCUCUCCUAUGGCCUGGCAUCUUCACAGAUGCAGAUUUUGAAAAUGCAUUUCUCCUUUAUCUGAGAGCCCCUCCUGCCCCCUCCUCCAGGACCGACACACUAUGUGUGGAACCUGUGAUGCUAGGCCAUCCUUCCUAUGGUUUGACAUAUUGUCUCACCAGUAAAGGGUAGAGCUGGAACCCACCAUGAAAUCCUGGCCCAGCAAAAUACGUGCCCUAGAGAAGAAGGACCACAAACUCAAGGUCACCUGGGGCUACAUACUUAAGAUCCAGUCUCAAAACACCAAAUCAAACAAAAAUUGCGCUAAUAAUAAAUUGUAGGAAGUAAGAAGAUGACACCAGGUAGCAGGUCUCAGGCAGCCUCUUUCUGGCUUUAGACUCAUGAUGGCUUAGAGUAGUUUUGAACUCCCAGUCUCAUCUUCUAAAUGUGCAUCUCGACAAAAAAAAAGGAAUGACCACGCCCGGCUAUAUACAUCUUUUUAAAAUUUAUUAUGUAUAUGUCUGUGAGGAUGUGCAUGGGGUGGGGGUGGGGGGGCUACUCUAGGAGACCAGAGGCACUUGAUCCCUUGGGAUGUUGCCUGAUGUGUGUUCUGGGAACCGAACUCUGGUCUUCUGUAAUAAUAGCAAAGAUCACUAUCAACCUCUGAGCCAUCUCAUGCGGUUUACAUGGAUGUAUUUGAUAUAUACCUAAUAAUGGUAUUUCCUUUG
ensembl:lincRNA Gm26885 predicted gene, 26885